UUGGAAACACAACUGGACAACUAAGUCUGAAGUCUGGAUUAAAUUAUGAUCAACACUCAUCAUAUGACGUUAAAAUCAUAGCGUAUGAUGGCGGUAGUCCAAGUUUUAAUUUUAGAUCAACUAUACAAGUUAAUGUGACUGAGAUAAAUGAACCUCCGGUAUGCAUACCCAAUUAUAAUACCUGUAUCAGGUAUAAUCCUUGUAUAAUAGAAGACAUCUCACGACUUGGACUAGAUGUGAAGAUUCGUUGUAUUGAUUCCGAUUCAGGGGAGAACAAGAUAUUUUAUAAGAUGGACGAUUUAAACGGGGUCGCGGAGAAAGAGGUGUUUACAGUAAAUAUGACCACUGGACAAGUGGGACUAAACUCUAAACUGAGAUAUCACCAACAAAGAACAUACCAAAUUAGAAUCAUAGUUUAUGAUGGUGGUAUUCCAAGUCUGAGUGUUACAGUAACUAUUCUGGUUGAUGGUAGGUGUCCAUUAAAUCUGUGUAAUAACCUUUAACAAAUACAAGUUUCUAUUUAUACCCCUUUUUCACAAUUCAACUAAA